GGGAAUAUAACUCAGUUGGUAGAGUAAUAGUUUAUGAUGUGUGGGUUCGAAUCCCACUGCCA
rnacentral:tRNA from 1 species